GGUUUUAAAGCGGACCAUUAAUCGGAUUAUAAAUAAAUAAUAAAUAAAUAUAUUUAUAUUUAUAUUUAUAUAAUAUAUUGAUUUAAUAUUAAAAGAUACAUUUAUAUGCUAUGAUAGAACUUACAGCAUAUGUUAACACUACACAUCCUUCGCAAUAAAUAAUAUCAAUUCACACUCUUCCACCCAUCUGAGCUGUAACUCAAAGUUGAGUCUCGAAAAAACAAAUAUCCUUCAAUCACCUGUUCUCUCAUCUCUCCUCCUCCUCCCCUCCCUCUCAUUCUCUCUCUCUCCACCCCAUCUGUCUCUUCUUCCUCCGUCUUUAUCUAAUCCAAAUUUCAGCCCCUUUCUGUCUCCCCUCCGCCGUCCCCGUCCUGCUUAUCUCAUCUCUAGCUUCAACAUCGACUCCUUCGUACUCAAACGCACUUUCCUCGCUCUCUUACAAGACAUUCAUCUGUUCACUUUAGCCGCUUAAUCGGUCAAACCCCGAUUAAGUGGAUUUUGACCCGCUUUUGACCCGUUUAAUCUCUCAAAACGUUUAAAAACCCGAUUCAGCUCUAAUCAGAUCGUUUUUAUCCCGCUUCCGCUUAAGCGGGCGCUUAAUCGCCCGCUUAAUGCGCUUUUCAUAAUUUUUUUAAUCGUCCCCGUCCUCCGUCUUAUUUCUUUUAAAAAAAUAUUAUUUUAUAAUUUUUUGAAUAUAAGUAUUAAAUAUUAAUUUGAUACUAGCCUUUAACUUGUGCGAAGCACGAGCGAUAAUAUAGUUCGUAAUUUAUUUAGUUUAAAAAUAAUAUUAAAUUGAUUCCGAUUAAUGAUCCGAUUAAUCACUCCGAUUAAUCCCCGAUUAUCCGAUUAAUCGCUAGACGGUGCCUUUACCGACUAAGUUCGAUUCCCACUUUUUACAACACUGCUAUUUAACAUAAAAAAAUAAAUUAUCGGCAUUUGUAAAAAAAUUGGUCCCAAAAUAUCAUUUCAAAAACUAAUUUUAUGUUGUAUUUAUGAGCAAGUCCAAUAUUAUUUAUUAUCUAUCUAUUGCUAUUGCUAUAAUAUAAUAUCAAAAAAUAUUUUUUAGUAUUAAAAUAAAACUUACUCCAAUGCUAAGUUUUAUAACUAAUUUCGAAUUUAACCAAUUCUUUUAACUUUUAUCAGCUUUUUUAACUUUUAAUCAGUGUUGCGAAAAGCGCAAAUCGGACAUAAGCGGCGAGACUACCUUCUAGCGCUUAAGCGUUAAAGCGGGCGCUUAAGCGGGUUUUAAAGCGGACCAUUAAUCGGAUUAUAAAUAAAUAAUAAAUAAAUAUAUUUAUAUUUAUAUUUAUAUAAUAUAUUGAUUUAAUAUUAAAAGAUACAUUUAUAUGCUAUGAUAGAACUUACAGCAUAUGUUAACACUACACAUCCUUCGCAAUAAAUAAUAUCAAUUCACACUCUUCCACCCAUCUGAGCUGUAACUCAAAGUUGAGUCUCGAAAAAACAAAUAUCCUUCAAUCACCUGUUCUCUCAUCUCUCCUCCUCCUCCCCUCCCUCUCAUUCUCUCUCUCUCCACCCCAUCUGUCUCUUCUUCCUCCGUCUUUAUCUAAUCCAAAUUUCAGCCCCUUUCUGUCUCCCCUCCGCCGUCCCCGUCCUGCUUAUCUCAUCUCUAGCUUCAACAUCGACUCCUUCGUACUCAAACGCACUUUCCUCGCUCUCUUACAAGACAUUCAUCUGUUCACUUUAGCCGCUUAAUCGGUCAAACCCCGAUUAAGUGGAUUUUGACCCGCUUUUGACCCGUUUAAUCUCUCAAAACGUUUAAAAACCCGAUUCAGCUCUAAUCAGAUCGUUUUUAUCCCGCUUCCGCUUAAGCGGGCGCUUAAUCGCCCGCUUAAUGCGCUUUUCAUAAUUUUUUUAAUCGUCCCCGUCCUCCGUCUUAUUUCUUUUAAAAAAAUAUUAUUUUAUAAUUUUUUGAAUAUAAGUAUUAAAUAUUAAUUUGAUACUAGCCUUUAACUUGUGCGAAGCACGAGCGAUAAUAUAGUUCGUAAUUUAUCAUUUAUAAUUAAAAUUUUAAAAUCAUUUUAUUAGUAUUUUAAUAUUAAUGAAUUGAAUUUUAAUUAAAUUAUAUUGAUCAACGAAUUGUAUAUAUAAAAUUAUAAUUUUAUUUUUAACAUCAUUAUAAUUUUUUUAUAAAAUACUAUAUGAUAAUACAUUAUUAUGAGUGUUUUUAAUAUUUGAAACUGUUCAAUAAGAGUAGUAAUAGACCUCUACGUGCGGUAUGUGCGGUAGACUUGUAGUUGAAAGUUGACUACAAAUUACACGCUUAUUAUAGUAUAGACUAGCAUUUCACAUGUACUGCGCACCGAAUGGUUAUUUUUAUAAAAUAAAAAUAAGUUUGUAUAUUUACAAAUUCAAGUACAUAUUGUUUUAUCAUUUAUAUAAUUUUAUUACAUAAUAUAAGUAUAAAUUUUUUAAGAAAAUAAUAUUAUUUUUUAAAUACUUUGCUCAACACCCUCAUAUUAUAUGAAAUGAAAUAAUCAUAUUUUCUUUUCAAUCAAAUAUUAUAUAAGGACCGACUAUCGUUUAGAGAUCAUGGAAUGCGAAUGCAAUCCCUGCUCCCGGUUUCGGAUCCAAAAUCUGAAUUAUCUCAAUUUCAUACCGAAUCCUGAAUUCGCACCGAUGUUGAUCUAAACUAAUUUGUUUUUACAAUAUGAGAUAUUGAAAACUAAUAAGAGAAUAAAAAAUGUACAUAUAAAAUUAUAUUAUGGUCAACAAUUAUGUAAUAUUUAUGUAUGAAUUUAGUCUAUAGUAUAUAUGAGGAUUGGGGAGGCAGACUGACAGUUAAUAAAUAGGGAGGGAUCGGGUCGGGUGGAUGCAUCCCCUGAUAUUAAUUAUUAUUAUUAUAAUAUAUAAUUUAAUUAAUUUGUACGCAAAAAUUCAUUUAUAUCUGCAUGAUUAGUCUUCGUUGCCAUAGUUUAGAAAAUUUGUAUGCACUUAACUUAUUUACGAAGUAAUAUAAAUUAUUAAAUUCAAUGGAGCAUGCCUUAAAAGUAUAAAUUUGUAACAAAAGUAAAUAAGA
rnacentral:lncRNA from 1 species